GCUACGGCAUCAGUAAUGAUGGGUAGGGGAGCUUCCCAUACGGGUUGAAGCAUGACCGUAAGGACAUGUGGACAGUAUGGGAGUGAGAAUGUUGGCAUGAGUAGCGAGAUGUGGGUGAGAAUCCCACAGGCCGUAAACCCAAGGUUUCCAGGGGAAGGUUCGUCCGCCCUGGGUUAGUCGGGACCUAAGCUGAGGCCGAAAGGCGUAGGUGAUGGACAACAGGUUGAUAUUCCUGUACUACCGAUAACCGUUUGAGAGAAGGGAUGACACAGUAGGAUAAGCUAAGCACACUGUUGGUUAUGUGUGCCCAAGCAUUGAGGCAGUCAAAGUAGGUAAAUCCGCUUUGAUAAUGCUGGGAUGUGAUGGGGAGCGAAAUUUAGUAGCGAAGUAGCUGAUUUCACACUGUCAAGAAAAGUCUCUAUCGAGGUUAAAGGUACCCGUACCGCAAACCGACACAGGUG
rnacentral:rRNA from 1 species